rnacentral:rRNA from 2 species
CCAACAGGGAUUGCCCUAGUAACGGCGAGUGAAGCGGCAACAGCUCAAAUUUGAAAUCUGGCGUCUUUGGCGUCCGAGUUGUAAUUUGCAGAGGGCGCUUUGGCAUUGGCAGCGGUCCAAGUUCCUUGGAACAGGACGUCACAGAGGGUGAGAAUCCCGUACGUGGUCGCUAGCCUUUACCGUGUAAAGCCCCUUCGACGAGUCGAGUUGUUUGGGAAUGCAGCUCUAAAUGGGAGGUAAAUUUCUUCUAAAGCUAAAUACUGGCCAGAGACCGAUAGCGCACAAGUAGAGUGAUCGAAAGAUGAAAAGCACUUUGGAAAGAGAGUUAAAAAGCACGUGAAAUUGUUGAAAGGGAAGCGCUUGCAGCCAGACUUGCCUGUAGUUGCUCAUCCGGGUUUUUACCCGGUGCACUCUUCUACGGGCAGGCCAGCAUCAGUUUGGGCGGUUGGAUAAAGGUCUCUGUCACGUACCUCCUCUCGGGGAGAUCUUAUAGGGGAGACGACAUGCAACCAGCCUGGACUGAGGUCCGCGCAUCUGCUAGGAUGCUGGCGUAAUGGCUGUAAGCGGCCCGUCUUGAAACACGGACCAAGGAGUCUAACAUCUAUGCGAGUGUUUGGGUGUCAAGCCCGAACGCGUAAUGAAAGUGAACGGAGGUGGGAACCUUUCGGGGUGCACCAUCGACCGAUCCUGAUGUCUUCGGAUGGAUUUGAGUAAGAGCAUAGCUGUUGGGACCCGAAAGAUGGUGAACUAUGCUUGAAUAGGGUGAAGCCAGAGGAAACUCUGGUGGAGGCUCGCAGCGGUUCUGACGUGCAAAUCGAUCGUCAAAUUUGGGCAUAGGGGCGAAAGACUAAUCGA